rnacentral:rRNA from 1 species
UACGGGGGGGGCAAGCGUUGUUCGGAAUUACUGGGCGUAAAGGGCGCGUAGGCGGCCUUCUAAGUCAGACGUGAAAUCCCUCGGCUCAACCGAGGAACUGCGUCUGAUACUGGAAGGCUUGAAUCCGGGAGAGGGAUGUGGAAUUCCAGGUGUAGCGGUGAAAUGCGUAGAUAUCUGGAGGAACUCCGGUGGCGAAGGCGGCAUACUGGACCACCACUGACGCUGAUGCGCGAAAGCCAGGGGAGCAAACGGG